GACGAACGCUGGCGGCGUGCUUAACACAUGCAAGUCGAACGGAGUGGCGAACGGGUGAGUAACACGUGGGUGAUCUGCCUUGCACUUCGGGAUAAGCUUGGGAAACUGGGUCUAAUACCGGAUAGUGCAAGAUGAGCUCGCGGCCUAUCAGCUUGUUGGUGGGGUAAUGGCCUACCAAGGCGUCGACGGGUAGCCGGCCUGCGAGGGUGUACGGCCACAAUGGGGAUGAGGUACGGGCCAGACUCCUUAGGGGGGGAGCAGUGGGGGAUAUGGCACAAUGGGGGGAAGCCUGAAGGAGCGGCGCCGGGUGGGGGAUGAAGGCCUUCGGGUUGUAAACUCCUUUCGACAGGGACGCGGUACCUGUAUAAGAAGCACCGGCUAACUACGUGCCAGCAGCCGCGGUAAUAC
rnacentral:rRNA from 1 species